GACAGAGGGUGCAAACGUUGCUCGGAAUCACUGGGCGUAAAGGGCGUGUAGGCGGGAAGGAAAGUCAGAUGUGAAAGCCCUGGGCUCAACCCAGGAACUGCAUUUGAAACUCCCUUUCUUGAGUGUCGGAGAGGAAAGCGGAAUUCCUGGUGUAGAGGUGAAAUUCGUAGAUAUCAGGAGGAACACCGGUGGCGAAGGCGGCUUUCUGGACGACAACUGACGCUGGAGACGCGAAAGCGUUGGGGAGCGAACAGG
rnacentral:rRNA from 1 species